rnacentral:sRNA from 1 species
UGACUCAUCAAGAUGCAGAAGCCAUAGUGACAGACUUCUGGUUCAGACUCACCACUUUGUGUCUCUUUUUUUCUCCAUGCUACCCAGCCCUUUUCUCCAUUUAAGAAAUGUUGGCAGGGUAAUUUAAAGACACUCACCUAGCUUGGAUUAUUUGCAUUUUCACCAAAAAUCCUGCACUUCAGCAUUCAUGUUUAUGGAAAUAGUCGCAGCUACUGAUUUCAUUUGGUUAAACUGUUAUAAUAUUGAUUCAUUUUGUUUAUUUCAGUUCAUAAGGAUGCAAUUUAUCCUAAUUUUGAUUUUGGUUGUAGAGGUUGGCGAUUUGAAGGAGCUGCAGACACUAGACAUUUCUACCAAUCGUUUGCUAACUUUACCCGAGAGGCUUCACAUGUGCCUUUCUCUGCAGUACCUCACUGUGGACCGAAAUCGUCUAUGGUAUGUGCCGCGCCAUCUCUGCCAGCUGCCCAGCCUCAAUGAGCUCUCCAUGGCUGGAAACCGUCUUGCAUUUUUGCCACUUGAUUUAGGUCGAUCUCGAGAACUACAAUAUGUAUAUGUGGAUAACAACAUUCACCUGAAAGGCUUGCCAUCUUAUCUGUACAAUAAAGUCAUCGGGUGCAGUGGCUGUGGUGCUCCCAUUCAAGUUUCCGAGGUGAAGCUGCUUUCCUUUUCAUCAGGGCAGCGAACCGUUUUCCUCCCAGCUGAGGUGAAGGCCAUAGGGACGGAGCAUGAUCACGUCCUCCCUCUGCAGGAAUUGGCCAUGAGAAGGCUGUAUCAUACCUACCACAGCUUGCUGAAAGAUUUGAACUUUCUGUCUCCAAUCUCAUUACCCAGAAGUCUCCUAGAGCUGCUGCACUGCCCUCUGGGGCACUGUCAUCGGUGUAGUGAGCCUAUGUUUACCAUCGUCUACCCCAAGCUCUUCCCCUUGAGAGAGACGCCAAUGGCAGGGCUGCACCAGUGGAAGACCACUGUUAGUUUUGUGGCUUACUGCUGCUCCACCCAGUGUCUGCAGACUUUUGACCUGCUGAGUUGAUAAACACUCAAGAACCUCAGGAGCGCUGCCAGCUUGACACUGGGGAAUCCAGCCAGUCCAGCACACUCUUCCAUCCUGUCCUGUCCAAUGCGGGGGCACUGCAGAACUCUCUGGAAAUGUCAUGAUUGAGCUUCAGAGCUAAAAUGCCUUCACCCUUCCCCCAAGUUGGAAUAUAUCCUCCCCCAAAUUAAGGACCCAUUUGUCUUCUGUGUUUUUCCUUUUUAUGUGAGUGUGUCUUUUACAGAAACAAUUUAGAUUGAUGGGCCUCCCCAAAUCUAAUUUAAAGCAAGUUUCAGGUCCUUGGAGAACAGUGACUUGAUCAUCUAGCCAGAUUCCCUUUUGAACACACAUACCAUCAGUGAUGCUUCCUCUCCUCUCCCUUGCUUUCCCCAGAGAGUUAUUUCCCUGAGACCAUGUUCUCCACAGUGUCUCCAGUGGAAACUUGUCAGUUUUUGAGGAGUUUCAGCAAACCUUGUGGCCUCAAUGGUCUUGAGUAGCAGGGUGGGGCGCCUGAGUUGGCGGCAAAGUGAGGCUCCCAUGGAGGCUCAGUGAGGGUCCCAGAGCACACACCCUCUGGAAAGUUCCAGCCUUGUUUAUACGUUCUACAAUGUAGCAACAGACUUUUGUGAGGGAUUUUAAAAACAAAAAUGUAGAUUGUAAUGAAAUACACUUCUUGUUUUUUAAAAGUGUUUGCAGAAAAAUGAUUUUUGAAGUUUUUAAAUUUCCUGAUAAGAUUUUUUUAUAUGAGAAGAAUUUGAGGAAUAUUUGAAGCUUUACAAGAUCUGAUUUUUUUCUUUCUUAAUAUAAACAGUUUCCACACAAUGAGAAAGGGGGAGAAAACACACAUUGAAAUAAGACCUCCGUGUUCUUUUUUGAUGGGUUUAUGAUUCAGUUUAUACUGACUUUGAAAUAUUUUUGUCACAUAUGAAAGACAGGCUUCAGCUACUUCCACUACUGCUGAGGCAGGAGAAUUGCUUGAACCUGGCAGGCAGAGGUUGCAGUGAGCUGAGAUCACGCCAUUACACUCCAGCCUGGGCAACAGAGCGAGACUCCGUCUCAAAAAAAAAUCAAGUUUCACUGUGCCUACAGUGAGGAGCUACCUCCUUGUGUCAUCAGCUAAUAGAUCUGAAAGUGAUGCCGGUGUCUCUAGGAAAGGAAUUGAUCAUAGCCAAGUGACUGACAUUCUCGGUCAGGAAAAGAGCUUGCUUCACAGCCUUUGAAGAAUGACUGUAUGUGUGGUCCCCUUGUACUUUGGAGACAGAAGGUACUGGCAGUGAGUGUGGUGGCUGGGCAGAAGGUGUAGCAUUCGGAGAUUAUUUCUGUAUGUAAUUAAGAGACUUUCAAGGGUUAGCCAGAUUUUUUUCCACUCAAGUGUGGAUUAUCUUUGCUACCUGUGUUAAAGAAUACCAGGUUUUGUUUCUUAUUGUGAUUUUUGAGUCUAAAUGAUCCAAGAUUUUUAAAAAUAGAUACAUAAUGAAAUCCAGGCCUCUGAAAAAUUAUGGCAACAUUCAUUUGGAGUGUGGCUAAAAACUCAUACUUUAUCCAAUUUGGUUGCCUCUCUGUUACUGCAGUUUAUAGAAUAAUUGAGUUUGAACCAUGUGAAUGCUCAGAAUGUCAAUGGUGGAGUAUUUAUUCAAGAGAAAUGGCUGAAUCUCGAUAUG